rnacentral:rRNA from 1 species
AUGCGCGCUCUGUCGCUAGCCCGCCUGGCCGCCUCACUGGUUCGUCGUGCCGGCCGCCGCGUCCGCCCCGUGCUCGCUCGCUUGCACGCCAUUGCACUACGCGCACGCCCGAGCCGACUUGCCGUCGCCGCCGAGCUCGCCUGUGCUUGCGCUGCGCCCGGGCGCCAACCAAGCUACGAAACGAAGCAAGUGCCGGCCACGAGUGCUCAGCCAGGAGGAAGCCAUUGUUGCCAUCGUCCGAUAUUGGGUCAGCUCGGUACACUCAUAGUCAUCUGCAGCACAGAUGGGUUCGACGGGGCCUGCCGCCGCGAAGCCGCACGCGGUGUGCCUGUCGUACCCGGCGCACGGGCACACCAUGCCGAUGUUCAACAUGGCCAAGCUGCUCCAUGCCCGGGGCUUCGACGUGAGUACAACCACGCGCACCUCGUCCGCUCCCACGGCCCCGCCGCCGUGGCCGGCCCCCAGGGCUUCUGCUUCGCCACCAUCCCCAACGGCCUGUCGCCGUCCGACGACGAUGACGUCAUGCAGGACAUCCCCACGCUUUGCAAGGGCACCACGGAGACCUACCUCGGGCCCUUCCGCGACCUCCUCGCGUGGCUCAAUGACCCUGCCACCGACCACCCACCUGUCACCUGCGUCGUCUCCGACAUCGUCAUGGGCUUCUCCAUGGAGGCCACCAACGAGCUCGACCUCCCAUACAUCCACCUCUGGACCGCCAACGCCAUCAGCUACCUCAGAUACCAACACUACCCCCUCCUCAUCGGUCGCCUCACCACUCGCCACCGAGCUCGCCCGUGCCAGCGCCCGCACAUCGUGAGCUCGCCCCUGUCGGCGCCGACGCCCACCGCGCGCGCCACGCUCUGCCGAGCUCGUACCGCCCGCACCCCGCCGAGCUCGACUGCGCCUCGCCGAGCUCGACUGCGUCCCGCCCGGGCCCGCAUCCCGCUGUGGUUGCCCGCCUUGCUGCACCGGUGGGUGGAGAGAAGGAGAAGAGAAGAGAAAGUAGCACGUGGGUGGGCCUCGGAGGAAAAGUGUGGAAAGAGGGAGUGGGAGGCUGACAGUGCGCCCAAUGGCAUGCAAAACAGUCUCUCUCCUCCCCCAGCUGUCUCCAAGAUCCUGGGUUUGGGAUGGCUUGGAGGGUGGCUCCUGGGAGUUCACGCCGUUCGACGUCAAAACCCACGCGGGCUCCUCGUCCUCCUUGAUCCGAUCGGCACCCUGCGCUUGCCCUGCCGGCAGGCAAAAGCUCUCGACAGAGCCGCACGAGCACCACUAGUGGGGAAAGGAAUGUUGCCGGACGAACCAAGGGCCACCCCGGACGACGAGCGCGGCAGUGUGACGGCGGCGCCCGAUGUCCCGGUCGGCGUCGGGCGGAGCGUGGUGCAGCAGCGGAGCACGCUGUACGACUCGUUCGAGCUCAACGCGAUGGUGGUGCGGCUGAACCGGCUGCUGAUGCACGGGGACCGCCCGAGGCGGAGGGCGCCGCGUGGCCCCUCGGCCGGCAGCUGGCUCGCCGUGCCCAAGGUGCUCCUCGGCAAGAUCAAGCGCGCGUUCCUUGGCGCGCCCCGGCGAGGUGGAGGCAGGUGA